rnacentral:rRNA from 1 species
UACGUAGGGUGCGAGCGUUGUCCGGAAUUAUUGGGCGUAAAGGGCGCGUAGGCGGCUUUGCAAGUGGCGGGUGAAAUCCCUCGGCUUAACCGAGGAACUGCCUGCCAGACUGUGAGGCUUGAGACCGGGAGAGGUGAGUGGAAUUCCCAGUGUAGCGGUGAAAUGCGUAGAUAUUGGGAGGAACACCAGUGGCGAAGGCGGCUCACUGGACCGGAACUGACGCUGAGGCGCGAAAGCGUGGGGAGCAAACAGG